GCCGGUGUAGCUCAGUUGGUAGAGCAACUGAUUCGUAAUCAGUAGGUCGAAGGUUCGAGUCCUUUCACCGGCACCA
rnacentral:tRNA from 1 species